UAGAAAAAGAGAAUAAUCACAUAAGUCUGAAUAUACCGAGAACCACACUUAUACAUUAGACAACAAGUAUUUAUUACACGUUUUGCUGUUUUUACUUUGCCACAUUAUCUGUUUGAAGAAUGAAUACUUAAUAAAUUACAAGGCAAAAGAUGAAUUAUCUGAUGGAGGUAAAGCUAGGAAGAAAACCUAUUGGAAAACGGUCCUGAUGAGGGACCUUAAAUCUCAUCACAACAACAGUCGUCUGGUGGAAGAACGACAUAAACCAAUUGGAUUAUAAAGAUUCGUCAAAUACUUCCACGUUUCACAAGUGUCUUUUGACAUGGUCAAUGACUUGCUUGGUUUUAUUAUUUUUAUAGUUCUUCUUAAUUUUAUAGUAAUGAGUAGUUAUGAGAAUUAUUAAAAUUGUUGAUAGUA